rnacentral:rRNA from 1 species
UAUAAUAUAUAUAGCACCCUGAGAACGCCCCAUCUCAUCUGAUCUGGGAAGCUAAGCAGGGUCGGGCCCGGUCAGUGCUUGGAUGGGAGACCAAUGGUACCUGGGGUAGAUUAGAA